rnacentral:lncRNA from 1 species
AUGGCAGAGGUUGCCGUGGGUGGGGUUGGGGAGGAGGUGGGGAGACAGGAGCACGAGGGUGCAAAGCCAGAGGGAGGGGGUGCAGCUGGGAAGUGCGCAGGCCUUGAGGAGCCCCCGGCUGGCCACAGAUGCCCCAGGUGGGCAUACACCACUGAAGUCACAACCAGGAGGACGUUAAACAGGUUCCACACCAAAUGUCCUGAGGGCUGGGCCUGGCCACAGGGCCGGGCGCUUUCUGUGUGGGACAGUGUGUUGAGAAGCUCGCCCACGGCCAGAGAGUGCACUGCACCCUGGAGCCUGGUCCCCACCUUUCUGGUGCUUGAGAGCCCAGGGACUCCGCUUUGGCCAGGCCCAACACUGAGGUCACAGGCUGACCUUUUCCGGAUCCCCACAGUGGGAAAACCUGGGAUCCACCCAGGUGGCUGCUGUUCCUGUGGGGCAGGGACUGGAACCCAACCUGGGAAGGUGGAUGAGGGUCAGGGCAGAGUGGCAUCAUCUGAAGGGGUACUCCCUCGCCACCCACAGGGGAAGGACUGGGCCUGUGGUCUGGAGGCCUUUUCUACGCAUGACUGCUCCAUCUCUGUGGGCCUCAAGUUUGAGCCUGCGUGGCCCUCUGCAUCCCUCUCCAGCCCCCCACAGCCCUCUCCGGCCUCGCUCCAUCUCAAAGGGCACGAGAUUGGGGGCACUGUGCCCACCAAGUGCUCACACACGUCUCCCUCUAGGCCACAUUCCAGGCACCUGGCACCCCAGGAGCCCCCGCACGGUGGCCCAAGCCCCUUUCAGGGCCUGCGUGGAACUCCCCAGGGUCUGUCCUCCCAAGGAGGGAGGGGUCUUGGCGCUGGCGUUGUGGAGGCAUGUGUGCGUGUGUGUGGUGUGUUUGUGUGUUUGGAUGUAUGUGUGUAUGUGUGUGCAUGUGUCUGUAUGUGUGCACAUGGCCAGGGGUGGCCACGGGGCUGUCAUGCAGGGAGAUGCACAGGAGUCAUUGCAGGUGAGUGGGGCUGGGGAGGAAGGCGGGGGUGGCUGUGGGCAGCACCCCUCAGGCUACCACACCACAGAGCGAAGCUAGGCUUGAGCCUGGCCUUCCUCGUGCUGUGCAGGCUGUGUCAGGGCGGAGGGACGGCUGUAUUUCAUUGUCCCUGA